UAUACUCCACAGUGAAAGGUUUGAACUCAGUAAACUGCUAUCCGAGGCCUAGUUUAAAAGUAUGAGCAUAUAGUUAAACAUAAUUUCUAGUUAAACAGAGUUUCUGCAACAACAUACUUCAAAAUGCCAUCUAAAGCCCGGGAUCAUUGCCAAUUCUCAACAUGGUACAAGAUGCAAUACGGAGAGUAUCAAUAUCAUCCCCAAAUAUCCUCAUUGAUUACAACAAACAACUCUCAGCACAUUUAACUUCAAAGUAUAUAUUAUAUCUUGAGAUAUCCCAAAAGAACACACAAUUGUCACUGCAUCCGAUAGCCAAGUAACAUGCAUAGAAACAUCAAACACUUUGUUGCAUAUCGAGGAGUGAACUUAGCUUUUGUUGGAGGAGGGUCGGCUGCCCUGUUCAGUGGAGCCUGCCCGCCAGAGAAACGUAGCGGCCAAGCUAGAGAAGGCCUUGAGAAACUGGGUGAUCUGAGGCGACACCGGUGGAUCACUAGUACCCAAUAAUGGCUCCCCAACAGCGAUCGCUGAAACAAUUACGAGUGAUCAGAAUCGCGUCGCUAGUGGGGCGCAACCGCUGCACUUUAAUUUCGAUGAAAACAUCAAAGGAGAAGACUGAAUGAUGAUUUUACCCUCGAUUUUGAGAUUCAGGGAUCAGAGAUGUGACCCUUCUUAAA
rnacentral:lncRNA from 1 species